CACUCACCUCCAUUAUCACGAUAAUAGAAAGGUCGCUUCAGCGGCGGCCCGGCCCUUUAAGGAGCCGGAACAUUCCAUUCCUCACAGGAGGGAGGUUAAUACUGGCAAAGACUCACGGGAACUUCCGGCCCAUUUGACGACGCAGACUCCGCCGCAUCACCCCGGGACACCCCCCUCCGUUGGAGCCGGUGGUCUCUUCCAUGGCCCCGGGAAUUCUGGGUCCCGCGGCGCCCGGAGUGUUUCAGGGCGCAUGCGCAGGGGCUGGAGGGGCGUUGCGGCCGAGGUCUCCCUUUAGCGGCACGUUUUGGGGCAGAUUCCUCAGCCUUUGUGAGCUUCCGAUUGCUCGUGUGGUAAAUGAAGCUACCGGCCCCGCAGAGGUUGUUCUGAGGAUCGCGUGAGAUACGACACUUGAAACCCUGCAGAGCCUUGGCAGGCAGCAAGCAUUCAUAAAAUAGUAGCUGCUUCUCUCUAAUUCUUCUUGCUGCCCGUCCGCUCUCUCCCCACGGCUAUUUCCGAAUAUGCACCGAGGCUUUCAGAACCUCUGCGCGCUGACAGCUCUCAUCACCCCCUUGAGGAUGACCCCUAAGGAGCGAGCAGACGUCUUAGCUGGGCAGGGGCUCCGGCCACCGCGCUACUCACCAGGGACAGCCGGCUCUGAUGGCUCCUCACACACGGUCGGCAGCGUCUGCUCCCACGAGGCCCAGUUCACUUCCUCCACCCUGAGGGCAACAGAGCAGCUCCGAGGCUCUGGGAAGACACUCUGUGCAGCAUGCUUUGCCCCCGGAGAGGGGCCCGCGUAGACACGGGUAGCCACAGGGACCGGGAGGAGGAUGGGCUUUCACCACCCUUCUCACUGGACACUGGGCCACCCACCAUCCCGCCCCCCCGUCCUUGUGGCUAUCACCCUGCUGCCCCCUGGGCCACGUCUGCAGCGGAGGAAAAGGCAUCUGUCCCUUCAGGCCGUGCACAGUGACCUGGCUUGCCCUCAACAUCUACAGAAGAGUCUCGAUCAGGUGUGUCUUUAUGUUCCUGGGCUCCGGAGCCCUUCUGUGGCUACUGCACAAGCCAAAGACCCUUCCCCUCUCCUUGCUCAACUGCUGUCUCAUGACAGCGUGUUUCUGGCUGUGCAUUUGUUAUCAGGUUGUCUCUCCCGUGGAAGCUUUGUUUUCUGUGGGAGGGUCAUCGCCUCUGUGUCAGGCUGGGGGAGUGGGGAGGGCAGAGCAGACCGGCCAGGCAAGGCUAGUGUGCUUAACCUGAGGGUCCGUCUGGCUUCUUGGCCUCCUAACUGUCCCUAUUUCAGGCCAGAAGGAGUAGGUCAGGGGCCACCAGGGAGGGGACAGGCAGUGAGUGUCAGGCCUGGACCUCCCCCACCCGGGGCAGCGUGCCUGGUGCUCCUAGGCUCUGCCUCUCCCACCAGACCUGACUCUUAGCAGCUUUUAAGAGAGUAAAGCUGA